AGUUAAAAAGGGCAAACUUGUCGAAAGGCAAGGACGCAAAGCCGGGGUCUAAAGUUUAAAUAAACCAUGACAGCCGGUUGCUGAU
rnacentral:ncRNA from 1 species